rnacentral:rRNA from 1 species
AGCGGCGGACGGGUGAGUAACGCGUGGGUAACCUGCCCUGGAGUGGGGGACAACAGUUGGAAACGACUGCUAAUACCGCAUAAGCCCACGGCCCGGCAUCGGGCUGCGGGAAAAGGAUUUAUUCGCUUCAGGAUGGACUCGCGUCCAAUUAGCUAGUUGGUGAGGUAACGGCCCACCAAGGCGACGAUUGGUAGCCGGACUGAGAGGUUGAACGGCCACAUUGGGACUGAGACACGGCCCAG